UUAAAACCGCGUGGACAUCGGAUAUCCAGUGGCACUAAUCCAAGGGGACCACGGAAACCGGAUACUAAUUCAUUCCAAAAUGAACUCACUUUGACGCGCAACCUCUUUCUGAGCGUCUGUGCCGCCACUGUUCACACCAAAUACUUUACAAAAUGUAGUGCCAGGAGGGAAAGCGACCAUGGGUGUGGGGUAUUUACAUAUGAGCGCGGUUGGUGCCACAGAUAUGAACGAGAGAUUAGAAAGAAGGGGUACAACUUAAAACCUAACGGAUGGAUUAGCAAACAGCUGGGGAACUGUGCCGCGUGGAGUACCACAGUUCACCACGCCUAAAGGAUGACCAAUGCUUCGAGAUGCUGUGAUUGUGUUUAGCAGAGCAUGGAGGUUUUUUGGACCAAUUUGGACAACUGUAUUGGAUUGACGCUGGGACACUCUGGGAAAAGGGGGGAGUUGUUGGUGAUGAGUACGGUAACAGUGUUGAAGAUUGUUUGAAGACAGGAAGGAAGCACGGACAGAGAGAAAGACAAGUAGGGUAAGGAUACAGACAGAUACGGAUUAAAAAAAAAAACAACAAGGGUUCCGACAGACAGUGGAACAACG